GAUGAAGAACGCAGCGAAAUGCGAUAAGUAAUGCGAAUUGCAGAAUCCGUGAGUCAUCGAAUCUUUGAACGCACAUUGCGCCCGCCAGUAUUCUGGCGGGCAUGCCUGUCUGAGCGUCAUUUCAACCCUCAUGCCCCUAGGGCGUGGUGUUGGGGAUCGGCCAAAGCCCGCGAGGGACGGCCGGCCCCUAAAUCUAGUGGCGGACCCGUCGUGGCCUCCUCUGCGAAGUAGUGAUAUUCCGCAUCGGAGAGCGAUGAGCCCCUGCCGUUAAACCCCCAACUUUCCAAGGUUGACCUCAGAUCAGGUAGGAAUACCCGCUGAACUUAAGCAUAUCAAUAAGCGGAGGA
rnacentral:misc_RNA from 1 species